rnacentral:rRNA from 1 species
AGCCGGCCUGAGAGGGUGUCCGGCCACACUGGGACUGAGAUACGGCCCAGACUCCUACGGGAGGCAGCAGGGGGGAAUAUUGCACAAUGGGCGCAAGCCUGAUGCAGCGACGCCGCGUGAGGGAUGACGGCCUUCGGGUUGUAAACCUCUUUCUAUAUUUAUUUAAUCGCAAGGGACGUUAUCUAUAGAAGAAGCACCGGCCAACUACGUGCCAGCAGCCGCGGCAAUACGUAGGGUGCG